AACGAACGCUGGCGGCGUGCCUAACACAUGCAAGUCGAACGGUAACAGGCCGCAUGGUGCUGACGAGUGGCGAACGGGUGAGUAAUGCAUCGGAACGUGCCCAGUAGUGGGGGAUAGCCCGGCGAAAGCCGGAUUAAUACCGCAUACGACCUGAGGGUGAAAGGGGGGGAUCGCAAGACCUCUCGCUAUUGGAGCGGCCGAUGUCAGAUUAGCUAGUUGGUGGGGUAAAGGCCUACCAAGGCAACGAUCUGUAGUUGGUCUGAGAGGACGACCAGCCACACUGGGACUGAGACACGGCCCAGACUCCUACGGGAGGCAGCAGUGGGGAAUUUUGGAUAAUGGGCGCAAGCCUGAUCCAGCAAUGCCGCGUGCAGGAAGAAGGCCUUCGGGUUGUAAACUGCUUUUGUCAGGGAAGAAAUCUUCUGGGUUAAUACCUCGGGAGGAUGACGGUACCUGAAGAAUAAGCACCGGCUAACUACGUGCCAGCCGCCGCCGUAACAC
rnacentral:rRNA from 1 species